rnacentral:lncRNA from 1 species
GAAAAGUUCAUGAAUUAAUUGGGUGAGAACUACAACGAACGGAGCCACUCUACGUUCUUCAAAGGAGAGACAAACAUUAACAAAAGAAAAAAGAAACGAAAACCGAACAAGUGUGAAGCACACACCCAACUGCGAGCUCGACAACUUCCCUGCAACUGAGACGCCGAGGGGCUAAAGCUCCCUUCGUUGCAAACAAGAAAUUAAAACAAACCACUAAAAAAGUUGUCCAAGAAGAGGCUCCAAAGUUCCCUAAAACCCAAAAAGUUCAAGAACUAAAUGCGAAAACGCUUCAUUUGUUCAUGCCGGUGGCGUUCUUGACUGCAUCGGCAGCUCCCUGUGCCUUGGCCUGCAUGUUCUGGCCAGCAUCCUGCAUUGUUUCCUUGGCAGACUGGGCGGCAUUGUUAGCCUUGUCCAUCAUUCCACUGGCCUUCUCCUGUCAAAUCCCAAAUCAUCCAAUACAACACAAACACCUCAAUCUCAAUGCACAAUCAAUAUUAAAGCAAAAGAAAACGUAAAGAUGUUAUUGACGCUCCAAAAUAGUCGAUCAUGCACUAGAAUCAUAAGAACAAAGAAGAAACGAGUGCAGUAUACAUGACUAUUUUAAAACUCUCGGAACAUUUCAAAACAAAAAAUGGAGAUGAGUGAGGGUUACCUGAGCUUGGCCCUUGGCCUCUCCAGCUUGGUAGCUCAUCUUCUGGGAGUUGUCAGCCAUUUUCUUCUUGUUGGAAAUUGGAGAAAAAGAGCACUUUGAAAUCGAUUGAAGUUCUUAGAGAUGGUAGUUGAUUUGCUUGAUGAUGAAAUACUCACAGUCGGAUAGGUUUAUAUAGGGUUUUGGACCACCUGAAUGCUCGACACGUGUGAUGCCACGCGUAAGUCACUCGCGGACUUCCUCUGAGUUAUUGUUCUGGGGACCAACCACGUGUCGCGUUGUUACUUGGGGUGGGCCUUUUGACCAGGAAGCUGUUUUUUUCCGGUGGUAGUUGCUAACUUCCUGUUCUUAGGGCUUUGACAGUUUCAUCCCGAAGGGAUCAAUAUACCACUAUACAUAUAUAUAUAUAUAUAUAUAUAUUUUUUUUUUUUUUCAACAAAGAAAAUAGUGGUAUUGAUAUAUUAUUUUGAUAAUAAUUUCAUCAAUGGGAGAUUGAAAAACCAGACUUCAUUUUAUCAACACACCUCUUUUAUUACAAAAAUUCACCAUUAUCUCUUAGUACAUUACUUGUGUAAUUGUCACAUGAUGCAUAAUUGUCAAUAAAAUCGCGUCACAACCCAUCAAAUAUUAAUACUUAUAGGGUGCGUUUGUUGCACCGGACUAUCUCGGACUGAACUAGAUUCAAGGACUAAGCUGGACUGGCUUAGACUAGACUAAGCUGGACUAACUUAGUGAAGCGUUUAGUGCAGUGUCGAAUUAAGAAGCAGGAUAAUGAAAAUAGUACUAUCACCAGUUUGGUGUUUGCUCGGACUGAGACUAAAUUAUUAUUCUAAUUUAAUUUCUUUUUAUUUAAAGAUAUUAUCAAAAUUAAUAAUAUUAGAUGAGAGUAUGACUCAAUAAAAAAUUAAAAAAAACCAAAUUUCUUGCCAACGAAAGAAACAUACAUGAUUCAAAAGUAGUAUUGCUCCAAACAUCAAUAUAACAAAGGUGUUUUCCUAACAAUUGACGGGUUUUAGAAUGCUUUUCUUAAUUAUUCAGCUUUGGGUUGAUUGCAUUUAAUCCCAAUACCACAAUGAUGUGUGAGGCGCAUUGGCAAAUGGAUAGCCGAGCCUUGAUCAUUGCUACAUUUGGAUUUGAGCACGUAAAUUGCUUGCUCCAACUAGUUUGAAAACCAAUAACAAUAUGCAAAAGGAAGAGAUCAUGAAUAUACCUCGAGCAAAGUACACAACGUUUGGAGCAAAGGAUUGUCAAAAGUGAAGCAACAAGUUUUAGCUGAGGGAACGUAAAUUUAAAUGUUAUGAUACAGACAAAAUUUUGUUAUUCUAACUAAUUUACUGACUAGACUAAAACACAAGUUUGUUUAGGCUACACGAAUACAAUAGUACUCCUGCACUACAGUUCCUCUGAGUCAACUCCUUACAUGAACAUACAGUUACAAACAAUCAAAAUCAAUUGAAUCAAUACCAUGCCUUUUGUUGCUCUAGCAAGCAAGUUGGUGCCUGCACAUGUAACAACUUGCUGCAUCAAAACUGCCAUAUAUGACUCUACUACGAUGGCUGAAUCUGAUCUCACCGAAAGCAGACCAAAGAUGUAAGCAAGAAAGCAGACCAAAGAUGUAAGCAAGCCGCACCUUAUGGCAUCCAUCAAUUGCAGGGUAUACAAUAUAUGAAACAGCUUUGAUGGUUUCCACAGCAUAGCCAACUAUUUCACUUUUAAAUUCCGAAAUUUCACAAGUAAUAUCAUCAUUGGUCCAAACCUCAGAAACAAGGACAGAACUCAAAUAACACAAAAAGACCUGCAAGGAAACAAUAGAUCACUAUCACUCAAUGGGGGAAAAAGCCAUCUCUAUGUUAUAGAAUUCAGAGAUGUAAGCCUACAAAGCUGCCUACCUGUGAACGGUUCAAGCUGUAUUCAUCAACUAAUGUUAAAACAUCCUUCAAAAUGUGCUUCUUCUCUAACUUGACUGAAUCAAUCAAGGGACGCACAACACUCUUAAUAUAAUUAAAGUCCUGAGACAAAAAGCGUACUGUGUCAACACCAGGGAUUAUUUUCUCUAAUGAUGUACAACGAUCUGCAACACGCUUUUGGUCUUCUAAUUUUAAUUUCCAUUCCCUCCAAAAGGUAGACUGCACCUUGUCAAAUUUGCCUAUUUCACCUGAAUCCAAUAAAACAACAUACAAAACCAUGAACUCCUUAUCAUUGUAAAAAUGUACAUGCAUCAAUAAUAUUACUCUAUUUUCACAUUUCCACUGCUUGGAGCUUUAACAUGAUAGCAUAGCAAAUUGUAAAUAAGUGUAGCAGAUUACCUAUGUGUUUUUCUUUAAACUUCCUUAGUAGAAGCUCCCUCCUUUGUGUAGGAUCUUCACACUCAAAUGCUGAACUAUACAACAAGCUAUAUGUCAUCCCCACAUUCAUGAUGCUAGAAACUUCUUGGUAAUCCUUCCUUGUUCUAAGCUGCUCAUCUAUCACUUCAACCCCACUCACAGCAUCUAACAUAUUCAACAGAAAUGAGCAACCCAUUAUGUCUUCCUCUUUGGUAACAGGUGGUUCAAUUAUUGAUUUUGCCAGAGACGCAAUCACAUUGUCGGUAGGAGCAAAACCAUUUCUCGCCAACCAGGACAGAAUGGUCACUAGAGCCUGUGUUCUUACACUGACAUAUUGCUUUCCAGGAAUCAAGUUACCACUUGACUUCUUACUGUGUUCUCUAUUCCUACUUAGCUCAAGCAACCAUGGAAGUUGCAGGGCAGAAAAUGUCAAAAAAUUUCCAUUUUCUCUCAAAAUAGAUUCCCAGUUCGUAUAAAUACGAUUACAAAUAAAGUACCAAUUCGCAAAUCACAAACUUUCGCAUAUAUAAGAAAAUAUCAGCAAAUGGUCAGACUUACAUAGUCGUUUAGCUGGCGAGCAGCAGAUUCAACUUCUUGAACACUUGACAUAGCCACAAACCCAAAUCCUCUACUUCUUGCAAUCGUCUUAUCAUAUAUCACCUGCUAAAAACCCUCCAAAUUUAACCCACAAAACACUAAACCAGCAACAACCGAUUUCACUUUUCACCUAAAUUUCAAGUAAAAUUUACAAAAUUUCGAGUGAAAACAAGGAAUUACCUUGACCAUCUGAACAUUUCCAACGCUCUUGAAGAUACCAGCAAGCUGAGCGCUAUCGACGCUGAAGGGAAGGUUACCCACGAAGAGUUUGAGGUCAGAGGAGGCGUCUCCGUCAUCGCUGAGAACCUCCUCAUCCUGCUCGAACUCGGAUGAGACGGCGAAGUCGUGAAGGAGAUGGGAGAUGGCAAAGGUGCGAAGGAGAAGAAGACGGAUGGAUCAGCUGCGAGGGAGGACGGGACUAGGAGUCCACUCGAAAUCGAGGGCUCUCGCUAAGAACGGUUAGCGAGGCGUUCAGUCGGGGCGAGUCCCUUUAGUCUCAUUAACGCUUGUCCGUGUAAAUAACAAACACCAGACUAGACUAUCAUUUAGUCUAGUCCAGUCCAAGAAAUGCUAGUGAAGGCAAACAAACAUACCCAUAAUUUCUAAUGUCCUGAGUUUCCAAUUCAUAGAAACACAAGCUAAGGUUCUCUAAAACUUAAACGAGAACGUUUCAAUUUUCAAACAAAUACAUGAAUGUGUAAUCAAAACACGAAUUACAUAAAGCACAUAACUCAAUAUGAAUGAAACAGAAUACAACACUUAUCACCCUUUCGUCGCUUGAUUGCCGUUAAAUAUAACCGUUAAAUAGGCAAAUCAGUUGCUCAAACCCGCACUGCACUAUCAAUUCCUUCAUUCAUUUUUCUUGUAUUUAACUGUAGAAGUUUUGAACCAAACCUCCAUGGACAUGUACAGAAGCUUCUAGGGUUUUGUAUCUUCACUUCAUUAUUAUUUCUUUUUGUGGGUUUUCGUUUCUUCCUCCUCCAUCUUUUGUCUGUUCACUGUUUUGCCCUUGGUGUUUUAUUUAAUUUUUAAUUCUUUGUCAUCUUUUUGUCUAUGUCAUUUAUCUAUGUUAUAGUGCCUAUAUACAAUGAUCUUAUCCACUUCUAUAUUGGAAAAUUUGGCCAUUUAUAUUUUUCAUUUUAUGAACUGACAUAGCUUGUAUUGUUAAGGAUCCAAAAUUGACUAUUAUAAGCAAAAUACCACUGCCUUUUAGCAACACUUUAAUUAUUUUAAUUAUCUUAAUAUCAUGAAAUAAUAUAAAAGUAAGGAUUAAAAUAAAAGUUAAAGAUGAAGAUAUAAUUUUAAAAAACCAUCACAUAAUGAUGAAAAGUUCAUGAAUUAACUGGGUGAGAACUACAACGAACGGAGCCACUCUACGUUCUUCAAAGGAGAGGCAAACAUUAACAAAAGAAAAAAGAAACGAAAACCGAACAAGUGCGAAGCACACACCCAACUGAGAGCUCGACAACUUCCAAGCAACUGAGACGCCGAGGGGCUAAAGCUCCCUUUGUUGCAAACAAGAAAUUAAAACAAAUCACUAAAAAAGCUGUCUAAGGAGAGGCUCCAAAGUUCCCUAAAACCCAAAAAGUUCAAGAACUAAAUGCGAAAACACUUCAUUUGUUCAUGCCGGUGGCGUUCUUGACUGCAUCGGCAGCUCCCUGUGCCUUGGCCUGCAUGUUCUGGCCAGCAUCCUGCAUUGUUUCC